UUAGCCCUAAACAUAAAUGAUUAAUGAACAAAAUCAUUCACCAGAGUACUACCGGCAACAGCCUAAAACUCAAAGGACUUGGCGGUGCUUUAUACCCCUCUAGAGGAGCCUGUUCUAUAAUCGAUAAACCCCGAUAGACCUCACCAAUCCUUGCUAAUACAGUCUAUAUACCGCCAUCUUCAGCAAACCCUUAAAAGGAAUAAAAGUAAGCACAAUCACAGCACAUAAAAACGUUAGGUCAAGGUGUAACCUAUGGAAUGGGAAGAAAUGGGCUACAUUUUCUAAUCCAAGAAAAACCUAAUACGAAAGUUAUUAUGAAAUUAAUAACCAAAGGAGGAUUUAGUAGU
rnacentral:rRNA from 1 species